AUGGACGACGGCACGGAGCUGCGGUUCGACCACGGCGCACCCUGCUUCACCGUCAGCAACGACGAGGUGGCCCGCGUCGUGGGCGGGUGGGAGGCGCGGGGGCUAGUCGCCGAGUGGAAGGCCAUGUUCGCCUGCUUCGAUCGGGAGACCGGCAAAUUCAGAGACUUCGAUAAGGAGGGAACCAUGAAGAAGUAUGUUGGUGUUCCUGGCAUGAACUCAAUAUGCAAAUCUCUGUGUCAAGAGGAUGGUGUGGUGUCCAAAUUUGGUGUCACUAUUGGAAAGAUGGAUUGGCUUCAACAUAGGAGCUCAUGGUCGUUGGCUAGCUUGGAUGGCAAAGAUCUUGGCAGUUUUGAUUUUGUUGUGGCAACAGAUAAAAACAUAGCAUCACAAAAAGUUUCUGGGUUGACUGGAAAGCCACCGCCUCUUGAUUUGUCAGUAUUUCCACACUUGUCAGCAAUGAUUCAAGAUAUCCCAGUUCGGCCCUGUUUUGCUCUGAUGUUAGCAUUCUCAGAGCCUCUUGCUAUGGUACCUGUCCAAGGGUUCUCUUUCCACAAUUUUGAUUCUCUAAGCUGGGCCUUUUGCGAUAGUAGUAAGCCAGGGCCUCAUGUACCUCCUAAUAGUCAAUCGUGGGUAUUGCGUUCAACCACCGAGUAUGCUUCUAAGGUAAUAGACAGUAUGGGUCCCCGGAAACCUUCAGCAGAUGCCCUUGCUAAGGUUGCAGAGGAAUUGUUCAGAGAAUUUCAGGGUACAGGACUGAACAUUCCACAGCCUAUCUUUAUGAAAGCUCAUAGAUGGGGUGGUGCUUUCCCAGCCAUUUCUAUUGGCGGUGAUGAUAAGUGUGUCUGGGAGAAGAACAUGAAAUUGGCUAUCUGUGGAGAUUUCUGCGCUAGUCCAAGUGUCGAAGGGGCUGUCCUUAGUGGCAUGAGAGGCGCUUCCAAAAUCCUUGGAUGUUUAAACUUACCAUCAGGGUUGUGA
rnacentral:rRNA from 1 species